CCGCAGCUCUAGAGCGGCUUGUUCUUGUCUCACCAGCCGCACCUCUCCUAUCCCGUUCUUGCUUGUUCUUUCCAUCAUCGGCCUCCAGAAGGCUUUCCUUCUCCUUGCCCCUCUCUCGUUCUCCUUGGCUGUAUUCUCGGGAGGGCCGCAGUUCUUCCGCCCUUCUUUCCCCAGCGAGAGGUCUGCUUCACUGCGUGAGAAGCCUUUUUUUUUGGGGGGGGGGCACUUGCUCUCUCACUUAUACAUACGUAGGGAGACCUUCUAUCACUCCCUCCGCCGACACAGUCGACGCUUCCUCGCCUUCUACACGUUGAGCGGUCCUUUCCUCUGAGACGAAUCUGUUUCUGUGCCCCUUGUGCGUAGAUGCCACGUGUAGGCGACGGGCGCACCUCGCUGGGCGACGCCGCUCCACCACAUUCACCGUCGCCACCGCCCUCCUCCUCAUCCUUCUCAUCCGCGCCUUAUGUGUCGCCGUGCGAGUGUGGCGACGACGCGGAGGACGACGGCCACCGCCAGAGCGGGAGCAGGGCCGUCUCCUCCACUUUCUCCCGAACGAGUCUACAGAAAACAAAGGACGAGGCAGUGAUAUCCUCCGACAAGAGCACCCGGGCCCUCUCACCCAUGGACUCCUUCUCAUGCAGCGCCACGACCAGCAGCACACGCCGACCCUCUCUGCAAGGCGCGAUGCAAGAGCAGACGGGAGCGAGGAAGCUUAGCCAGUCCACUGUAUCUGGCUCAGCACCAUCUUCUGACGCAGCCGCGUGCCCGAAAGGGCAUACCCAAACUUCCGCUAGCGUCGCGGUAUCGCGCGGACGAGGCCUUCAUGCAUUGCAGAGCCCCUCGCCAACGCUGACGCCGCCGCGCCUCGCGCCAUCCGUGUCAUCGCCACUCACGACUUCGUCACAACUCACUAGCAUGCACGCGCCACCAAAGCCGCCGCCGCCACCUCGCACCCACUACCAGUACAUGCACUCCUUCGAAUGCCGCUGCCUGCUAUCCAAGAAAAUGCUAAGGCUAUACGGCGCUGGCACGGUUCCAGUCAUUGUAGAGCCGACGGAGAGCCAUCUGCGGCUGUCUCCGUCGCCGCCCUCCCUGCACGGGGAUUCCAAGUCGUCCGCUGGUUCAGCAGGCAGUUUCGGUGGCUACGCACGGAACGGGCAGCUCUCCUCCAGUGGCCGCUCCGGUGCGGGUGUCACGGCGUCCUCGGCCGCAUCAGCCUUCACCUCCCCCUCAGCGAAGAGUACACUCAAGUGCAUCUUGCCGCGCUCCAAGUCCGUUGCGGAGGUAAUUCUGACUUUGCGAGGUCGCCUCGCCUUGGACAGCUGCCAGUCGUUGUUUCUCUCCGUUGGAGAGAAUGACGUGCUCGUGCCUGGAAAUUCGCUUCUCGGCGACCUCUACGAGCGCUACCGCAACCCCGACGGUUUCCUGUACCUUGGCUACUUGCUGGAAAACACCUUCGGCGGAGACGUGCGCUCUGCCGCUGUAGAAGCCUCCGUUCAUACUGUGAGGUGACGGGUGCAGCGGUGAUGGCAGUCUGUUAGGGGAGGGUCUGUGGGUGCAUGCACACGCGCGCUGUGUGUGGUUUGGUGGCGUUUCUGUUGGCUGUUCUCUCUGGCGCGUUGUCUCGACCCCUCUUUUCGCGUGUCUCCGGCGAGGCAACGCGAGAAAAGCGCCUCCGCUUCGUUUCUCUUUAGGCGUGCGUGCGUGUGUGCUGCAUUCGGAUGUUGUACGCGCUGGCGUUCAUUUUCUUUCUCCCUCCUUGCCAUGUGAUGCCCUCACAAGGCUGUCACUGCACACGUCUGCUUCGCACCCGUGCGUCUCUUGUAUCCCGAGAGAUGCACAGGUGCGCGUCGCCAGCGUGUUGUCGAGCGUACAUACUCCUCUGUCUUCCCUCGCUCGUUUGCCUGUCGAUUCUGCAACGCACUAGCGAGAGUAAGAGCAGUGCGCGCAUUUUAGUGUGGGCGACUCGUGAGGGGGGUGGCAGCCGCGGCUGGCACCCUGCCAAUGAAGCUGGUCUGCAUACAUGCAGCCCGCGUGCAUGUGUGCUUGUCUCGUGCCAGUUUCGUCAUGCUGAUUCGUCUUUCACUCUUUGGACUCCUCUCUCGUGCCUCCCCCCGUCCUCGUCUUCUCUCGCGUGGGCUCCCUGCUCAGCACGUCACUGGGUUGCGUGGCCGUCGGACUGUGGUACCACUUUGUUGGUGUACCUGUCCGGGGACGCCACCAACGACGUGUCUGCGUGCUUGUCUAUGUGCGAGGUGGUUGGUAUGUGGUUCGCUGCUGGCGCUCAGCAGCACGGCAAGGCAUGGGUUUCACGCACGAGUGUCUCGAGAGCAUCCAC
rnacentral:misc_RNA from 1 species